GAUGAACGCUAGCGAUAGGCUUAACACAUGCAAGUCGAGGGACCGGCGCACGGGUGCGUAACGCGUAUGCAACUUGCCUCACAGAGGGGGAUAACCCGUCGGAAGACGGACUAAUACCGCGUACUGUGAGAUAGGCAUGCGUCCCAUUAGCUAGUUGGUGAGGUAACGGCUCACCAAGGCAACGAUGGGUAGGGGAACUGAGCGGUUGCACCCCCACACUGGUACUGAGACCCGGACCCGUCUCGUACGGGAGGCAGCAGUGAGGAAUAUUGGGCACUGGGCGAGAGCCUGAACCAGCCAAGUCGGGUGAAGGAUGACUGUCUAUGGAUUGUAAACUUCUUUUGUAGGGGACUAUUUACCCUACGAAUAAGCAUCGGCUAACUCCGUGCCAGCAGCCGCGGUAAUUC
rnacentral:rRNA from 1 species